GACGAACGCUGGCGGCGUGCUUAACACAUGCAAGUCGAACGGAGUGGCGAACGGGUGAGUAACACGUGGGUGAUCUGCCUUGCACUUCGGGAUAAGCUUGGGAAACUGGGUCUAAUACCGGAUAGUGCAAGAUGAGCUCGCGGCCUAUCAGCUUGUUGGGGGGGUAAUGGCCUACCAAGGCGUCGACGGGUAGACGGCCUGCGAGGGGGGACGGCCACAUUGGGACUGAGAUACGGCCCAGACUCCUACGGGAGGCAGUGGUGGGGAAGAUUGUACAAGGGGUGGACGCCUGAUGCAGCGACGCCGGGUGGGGGAUGAAGGCCUUCGGGUUGUAAACUCCUUUCGACAGGGACGCGGUACCUGUAGAAGAAGCACCGGCUAACUACGUGCCAGCAGCCGCGGUAAUUC
rnacentral:rRNA from 1 species